rnacentral:rRNA from 1 species
CAGGACGAACGCUGGCGGCGUGCCUAACACAUGCAAGUCGAACGGACGAGAGGAGCUUGCUCCUCAAGUUAGUGGCGGACGGGUGAGUAACACGUGAGCAACCUGCCCUUCGGAGGGGGACAACAGCUGGAAACGGCUGCUAAUACCGCAUGACACAGCGGGGAGGCAUCUCCCUGCUGUCAAAGAUUUUAUCGCCGAAGGAUGGGCUCGCGUCUGAUUAGAUAGUUGGUGAGGUAACGGCCCACCAAGUCAACGAUCAGUAGCCGGACUGAGAGGUUGAACGGCCACAUUGGGACUGAGAUACGGCCCAGACUCCUACGGGAGGCAGCAGUGGGGAAUAUUGGGCAAUGGGGGGCAACCCUGACCCAGCAACGCCGCGUGAAGGAAGAAGGCUUUCGGGUUGUAAACUUCUUUGACGAGGGACGAUAGUGACGGUACCUCGAAAACAAGCCACGGCUAACUACGUGCCAGCCGCCGC